ensembl:lncRNA
GCUCCUUCUGCGUCCGACACAGGACUCUGCAGUCAAAGUAACUUCACUAUGAGUGAAGAACAGGAGGUCUACCAAGCUGAGGAAAAAAGUAACAUCACAAUAACAUGGCUGCUCCAUUUAGACACCAACAGGCCUCCUGACUUCCUGCAAAUAGACCUAAUGAAUGUGAAAAGGAAGACACAGGUUUUCUUCUAUAACAGCAAGACUGGCACUGAGGUGUAUCCAGAUGAGAACUACAGAGGACGACUGCAGUGUGAUCCACAGCUCGCCAGGAAAGGACGACUUGAAUGUCUCUUAACUGAUCUCAGGCUCAACGACACGGGGAUGUAUCACUGCAUCGUUGUCCUUAACGAAGAAGUUAUUUCCAAAACCUGUGACCUCAGUGUUACAGUUCAUCCUGAACCAGUGGCCAUGAUAUAAAGUACCACAGGCUGUGAAUGCUACAUUAGCAUGUACACUCUCAGCCACUUCAUUAGCAACUUUUAACAAACCUGUGGAAGUGACAUCAAAACCAGCGAACUCUAAGAGGAUCGGCCUCCACGCAGCUCUGGCUUUGUUUGCAGUGGUGAUCAUAGCGCUGCCACUGCGUUACCUGUCUGUAACAUUUUGUAAAUAAUAUUAUUUGUAUUAAUGUGAAGUAGCAGCCCAUUACAGAUUACUCCUGAGGUCACCUCUGACUGUAAUGAGACUAGGGAUGGGUAUCGUUUAGGUUUUAUCCGAUACCGGUGCCAAAUCAGUACUUUUGAAACGGUGCCGGUGCUCAAACCGGUGCUUAAAGAAUGGAGAACACAAAAUUGGUCCAAAAACCUCUCAUGUUCAG